AUGGUGCCCCUCAAUAACUUGACAUAUAUUAUGUUUGUUGACCUGGCGUGCUGCAGACAACUUCCCGAUGGGUUGUGUCAGCUCCCGAACCUGCAGUUCUUUAAGGUAGACCGUGCUCCAUUCAUCAGGCGUGUUGGGGCUGGAUUCUUGCAGGCUGCGGCUACUCCAUUUCCGAGGUUAAAUGAGAUGUACUUACUAGGAAUGGUGCAAUGGGAAGAGUGGGAGUGGGAGGAGCAAGUACAAGCCAUGCCUAGGUUGGAGAAGCUUAUGCUCAGGAAAUGCAAACUGAGGCGUAUUCCUACAGGCGUUGCCACCAAUGCAAGGGCUUUGAAGGAAUUAUUUCUACAAGACGUCCAACACCUCAACUACCUUGAGACCCUUCCUUCUGUUGUUGAGCUUACAAUGCUUCGAAUCCCCGACAUGGAGAGGAUCACUAAUCUCCCCAAUCUGCAGAAGCUCACGAUCACCGAUUGCCCAAAGCUGAAGGUGCUAGAAAGUAUCCCUGCACUUGAGAGGUUGAUCCUGCAGGAUUAUGUCAUGGAAGAACUCCCAGAAUACAUGCGAGAUAUAAAGCCAAGGAUAUCGCUGCUAUCUUCAUUAGCCGCGGGACAAUCUGGUCCUGAGUGGGACAAGUUCAGCCAUGUGGAGUAUGUCAAGGCAUAUGCAUGUGAUGGAAACAACCCAAGAAAAUGGUACGUUCUAUACACAAGAGACAAUGGCAAGCUGGAGUCCAAUAUUAGCAGCUCUACCGUAUUUGAAGGCGAUACAAUGGCUGCAGAGGAGGAACGACAAGCAGCAGCAGCAGUUGCAUCCGGUCCAGGAGAUGGAAACAAGGAACAAGAAGCAUACCGACUACAAACAGCGGUCUAG
rnacentral:rRNA from 1 species